GUGGGUUCAAGCCGGUAGUACCGUCGCCCUCGUUGCCGAAAAACCCAACGAACUCACACUGUCGACACAGUUACAGCUCAUCGAAAUACUGGAGAAUGUGACAGCAAAUCUCAUUCGAGUGUCGCUGCUCAUACCGAGGCAGCAGUACACCCUCGUUUGCAAUGAUAUCUUACGCACAGUGGAUAGUCUACAACAAGCAGCGGUCCAUGACAAGAGAAGUGCCGACAGCGCCUCA